CCUACGGGUGGCAGCAGUGGGGAAUAUUGGACAAUGGGCGAAAGCCUGAUCCAGCCAUGCCGCGUGUGUGAAGAAGGCCUUCGGGUUGUAAAGCACUUUCGGUGGGGAAGAAAGCCUUGGGGCUAAUACCCUCGAGGAAGGACAUCACCCACAGAAGAAGCACCGGCUAACUCCGUGCCAGCAGCCGCGGUAAUACGGAGGGUGCGAGCGUUAAUCGGAAUUACUGGGCGUAAAGCGCGCGUAGGCGGUCUGAUAAGCCGGUUGUGAAAGCCCCGGGCUCAACCUGGGAACGGCAUCCGGAACUGUCAGGCUAGAGUGCAGGAGAGGAAGGUAGAAUUCCCGGUGUAGCGGUGAAAUGCGUAGAGAUCGGGAGGAAUACCAGUGGCGAAGGCGGCCUUCUGGACUGACACUGACGCUGAGGUGCGAAAGCGUGGGUAGCAAACAGGAUUAGAUACCCGAGUAGUC
rnacentral:rRNA from 1 species